GGGGCCUUAGUUUAGUUAAAAUGUUUGACUUGCAAUUAGAAGAUGCAGAGUAAUAUCUGUAGGUCCUA
rnacentral:tRNA from 1 species